ensembl:lncRNA
CAGGGCUCUUGUGGCCAAACAUUAUUAUAAAUGUUCCAAGUUCAGGGCCCCAUGUUCCCCAACAACGUAGGGAGAGGAAUCCAGCCAGGAUAAAACAGCCUUGUCUCUUCAUGUUACUGCGAGGCUGUUCUUUUGCAGAGAUGAGGAAAGGACCCAGCCUGAUUAAUGUCAAGGUCUUCAUUGCAUUCUGUUGCGUGCAUGCAGGGAAGCCAGUUCUGCUGAGGCGCCCUGCCAACACAGAGAAGCCAAGCCUGUUAAAAGACAUGCUCUUCGGUCUUCUACUUUCCUGUCCAUGACAAGUGAGAGGUCAGAGCUAGAAGAACAUGGGGUGGCUAUAUACACUUACAGAAAUUUCCUAAAAUCCUUCCUGGGAGAAGAUAAAGAGAAGUGAAGUCGCUCAGUCAUGUCCAAUUGUUUGCGACCCCAUGGACUGCAGCCUACAACGCUCCUCCGUCCAUGAGAUUUUCCAGCCUCACCAGCUUCUGUGUUCCUGCAAAGGCUAUCAUAGCUCCAAGAUCCAGCAUUGACCAGAGUGGGCAUCUCUGGGAAGGUGCUUCCUUGCUGCAGCUGCUGGAGACCAGAAUCGCCACGUUCUACGGCUACCAUGGCAACCACCAGCAACUGUACAUCUUAAAAUUGAACUAAGAUGAUUUAAAUGAAGACUGUCAAAGCCAAUUUUGGAUUGACUGGAAAUAGUUGAAGAUUUGAUAGAUAUGAUGUAAUAAGAGUUCUCCCUCACAAAGAACAUGCGUUUUUUCCAAUUGAUCUCAUUAUGAAGAUGGCACAACUUGUAUAUAAUUGACUUAUUUUAUAGGCAGGAUGGUGAGUUGAACUGAAGGACUAACUGCUUUCAUCACUGUCAAGUCACCACAGAUGUUCUGCUGAAAAAAGAGAAAUAGCCUUGCUGAAUUGGUUUGAAGCAGAGACUAAUAGGCAAUUAGGGCUUGGUCUGGUCUGAUGGCUUGGUGUAGCAAAUGCUGGGAACCAGUGUGUUGCAGUAGUGAAUGCCCAACAAAUGAAAUGGUUGUCUCACUCUUCUUAGGCAGUGAAUGCCCAACAAAUGAAAUGGUUGUCUCACUCUUCUUAGGCAGUUCGUUCAACUCCAUCAUCUAUCGGAAGCCAAGGGAAAAAAGACCACUGAUUGCUAAAGAUCACACACUUUUAGCAAACAUUAAUGUGCAAGUGUGAUGGGAAAUUUUGUCUAAUGAGUUCACCUAAAACAGAGCUCUUAUUUCACAAACAUAUAGGAUAUUUUAUUCACCUCAAAGUCUGAAAAGAUUAUGGGGCUUAGACCCAGAAGAUCUGCAUCAGGUCUGGCCCCGCCAAUAGCUAGCUGUGCAACUCCUGAUUUGCUAGCAUCUACAUCUCCAGAAGUUGCAUCAUGAGGUGGCUCCAAUGGUAAAGAAGCUGACUGCCAAUUCAGGAGACGUAAGAGAUGCAGGUUAAAUCCCUGGGUCGGGAAGAUCCCCUGGAGGAGGGCAUGGCAAUCCAUUCCAGUAUUCCUGCCUGGAAAAUCCCAUGGACAGAGGAGCCUAGUGGGCUACAGUCCAUGGGGUUGCAGAGUCAGACACCACUGAAGCAACUCACCGCACAACCAUGUACAUCUCCAGGAGUUGCAUCCAUGACACAACUACUGAGAGAGGGAAGGCAUUAGUGCCUGGGAGGUAGAAGCUUUUGAUUUCCCUUUUUGGUUGUUGGCCUGUCAGAAAAAAAGAUGUUCAUCAUCCUGAACCCUCCCUUGUGCCUCCCUUUUUCUCAAUUUCAGCCCUCUCAAAUCUUUCCUCUGCUAUCCAUAAACACAGAAUUCUAAAGUGAGAGGCUUUCAGGAUAUAUUGUACUAAUACAUCAUCAACAUUGUCAUUAUGAUGUAUUAACACAAUGCAUCAUCAUAGACCUGUCAAAGCUGUGAUUUAUGACUCAAAAGUGUGUUGUGAUGUAGCAAGGCAUCAGGGACUUCAUUGACUGAAUGCUUGUUUAUUUUUACACUUAAGGGCUUUGAAAGUAAGUUUCACACUACUUUUCCAAAAAGAAGAAUUAGGGGAAGACUUUGAAAGGAAGACUCCAUUGCAAAACACUGAAGGGGCCAAUGGGUCACACUUAAGAUAUAUAAAGGUUUGUGUUUUCCCAGACCACUUUGAAUUCAGAAUCAGACUUCCACACUCCAACUCAUUUGGUUCCCACUGGAAGAAUCUAGUCUUUUCCAUACCUUUCCACCCCUCUAUUUGAACUCCCUUCAGUUAAGUGUGUGAGGUAUGGUAGGAAAGGUAUACAUUAGAGGCUUUCUUUCACUGCCAAAAGUAAUAAGGAUAGUGUUAUAUUUUAUGAGAGUAAUUAAUGUGAUUUUGCAGGGGAAAUCUGCUUGCAAUGUAGCUAGGGACUGGCAUUACACAUUUUCUUUCUGAGCAUUAAGUUCUUUCAUAAUGUCCUUCUCAAAGUAUUAAGCACAUACUGCGUGAACCACAUACACCACUGAGCAUGGUGCCAAGAGAAAGACAGAAGAGUUAGGUGGAGCCAUUGCAAAAAAAGAAAAAGAUAUAAGAAGGGAAUUAAAGCCAGCUAAGGAGAAAUAUACACAGACUUCCCUGUAGCUCAAAUGGUAAAGAAUCUGCCUGUGAGGCAGAAGACCAGGGUUCAAUCCCUGGGUUGGGAAGUUCCUCUCAACCCACUCCCGUAUUCUUGCCUGGAGAAUUCCAUGGACAGAGAAGCCUGGCGGGCUACAGUCUGUGGGGUCACAAAGAGUCAGACAUGACUGAGUAACACAAAAGGAGAAAUAUUGUAUCACUCGACUUAUAAUAGCCCCUUGAAAAUGACUGAGAUGGAAGAAGAGUCAUCAGAAAACGGUUCUGGAAAAGAUGAGUCACUGGGCAAAGUCCUAUGUUAAGGAAGAGAUGAGAAGGAUGUCUGAUUGUCUCCAGCUCCAGGAUGACAGUUCUUUCCAGAAUAUAGUCCUUCCUUGGCAUCUGUGGUGAGUUGACUCCAGGACCCCUGUGGAUACCCAAAUCCACGAAUGCUCAAGUUCCCAA